GAUGAAGAACGUAGUGAAAUGCGAUAAGUAGUGUGAAUUGCAGAAUUCAGUGAAUCAUCGAAUCUUUGAACGCGCAUUGCGUCCUUUGGUAUUCCAAAGGGCAUGCCUGUUCGAGCGUCAUUUGUACCCUCAAGCUUUGCUUGGUGUUGGGCGUCUUGUCUCUAGCUUUGCUGGAGACUCGCCUUAAAGUAAUUGGCAGCCGGCCUACUGGUUUCGGAGCGCAGCACAAGUCGCACUCUCUAUCAGCAAAGGUCUAGCAUCCAUUAAGCCUUUUUUUCAACUUUUGACCUCGGAUCAGGUAGGGAUACCCGCUGAACUUAAGCAUAUCAAUAAGCGGAGGA
rnacentral:misc_RNA from 1 species